UACGGAAGGUGCGAGCGUUAAUCGGAAUAACUGGGCGUAAAGCGCGCGUAGGCGGUUGAGUCAGUCAGAUGUAAAAGCCCAGGGCUUAACCUGGGAACUGCACCUGAUACUGCUUAACUAGGGUACGGUAUAGGGCAGUAGAAUUUCCUGUGUAGCGGUGAAAUGCGUAGAUAUAGGAAGGAACACCAGUGGCGAAGGCGACUGCCUGGACUGAUACUAACACUGAGGUGCGAAAGCGUGGGUAGCAAACAGG
rnacentral:misc_RNA from 1 species